UACGAAGGGGGCUAGCGUUGCUCGGAAUCACUGGGCGUAAAGGGUGCGUAGGCGGGUCUUUUAAGUCAGGGGUGAAAUCCUGGAGCUCAACUCCAGAACUGCCUUUGAUACUGAGGAUCUUGAGUUCGGGAGAGGUGAGUGGAACUGCGAGUGUAGAGGUGAAAUUCGUAGAUAUUCGCAAGAACACCAGUGGCGAAGGCGGCUCACUGGCCCGAUACUGACGCUGAGGCGCGAAAGCGUGGGGAGCAAACAGGG
rnacentral:rRNA from 1 species